UCAGGGAUUGGAGCCCUAAUGCUGGCUAACCGGAAAAACGCUCAACUCAGGGGUUGGGGCCCUAAUGUCAGCUAAAGAAAAAUGCUCAACUCAGGGAUUGGAGCCCUAAUGUCGGCUAAAGAAAAAACGCUCAACUCAGGGAUUGGAGCCCUAAUGCUGGCAAACAGGAAAAAUGCUCAACUCAGGGAUUGGAGACCUAAUGUCGGCUAAAGGAAAAACGCUCAACUCAGGGAUUGGAGCCCUAAUGCUGGCUAAAAGAAAAAUGCUCAACUCAGGGAUUGGAGCCCUAAUGUCGGCUAAAAGCGAAUCGUUCAACUCAGGGAUUGGAGCCCUAAUGUUGGCUAAAGGAAAAACGCUCAACUCAGGGAUUGGAGCACAAAUGUUGGCUAAAGGAAAAACGCUCAACUCAGGGAUUGGAGCCAUAAUGCUGGCUAAUAGAAAAAAUGCUCAACUCAGGGAUCUGAGCCCUAAUGUCGGCUAAAGAAAAAACGCUCAACUCAGGGAUU
rnacentral:lncRNA from 1 species